GCUCAUGAAAUAUAGAGAAGUAAUAUUUUUCAUUUGAAUAAAUUUAUCAUAGGAUUUAGCAACUUGUUGUGCAUUCAUAUUGGAGCAUUUAUUUUCAUUGUAUUGUGUGAUUUUGGGAAAAAUCAAAAUAUUUCCAAACUGAUUUUAAACUGUUUUGAAAAGGCUUUGAAAAAAAAAACAAAAGAAAAGAAAAAAAAGGGGAAACAUCUCCCUCCAUUUGUUUUGGCCCGAAGACCCCAAGCCCCUCCCCUCUUCCUUUCCACGCCACCCCUUUUUCCAUCUCUCUCUCGGCCCAAACCCCCUCUCCACUCUCUUGGCCCAUGUCGCAGCAAGCCCAGCUGGACAAGCCCGCGCCACCCCUUUCUCCUUUCUCUCUGUGACUGACGGCCGGGGCCCGCAUGUCAGCGACCGCCUCCUUCUUCCUCCUCGAGUCCGAACGGGUCACGACACCGCCGGCCGAAUCCAAUCCCGGGAAAGCCGCGGUUUCUUGCCAAAUCGAUUGCCCGGCUCCCUAUAAAGCUUCCAAUCAUCGCAGCGGACCCCCUUUAUCGGUUAGAUGCAUGCCUAAAAAGCCCUAGCCGCCGUCUUCCAUGUUCUGGGAUCUCGCCGAGGAACACCUUCACCGCCGCCGUGUUUUGCAUCAAUCGAAGCUGCCCAG
rnacentral:lncRNA from 1 species